CAGAGCAAAAUCAAAACAAACAAAAAUGCUUCGCGAAUCGGUGAAUUUUGGUUUCGCAAAUUAAUUUGCAAAUUGCAACACUUUUCAAAUCUAUAAUAGAAAUUGUAAUAUACUAGCGGCUGGUGGAUAUAGUCAAAGUCAGCGGAAAUAUGUGCGCAAUAGUGUAGUGACGUUAAUUGCACCAACUUUAUCAGAAUAAACUGAUUUCCGAACAGACGGUGAUGUGACAGUUUUGGACUAAAUGACGGAGCAGGCAAAAUUCAACCAACAAAGUGCAUUCCGCGGGACCCCCUACACCAAGGCAGGUGAUACCAGUUCCGCCAUGGGAAGAAAUAUUAAAUAAAUGUUAAUGGAAGGAUGUCGUCAAAUAAUGUGGAUGGCAAUUGCAAAAAGAAACGAGACCAGAUGAUGAGACGGUGACGAGCCAAAGUAAUCAAUGCGGGAUCAAUGCGGCUCUUCUAGUGUUAUGGCCAAUGCUACUGAGGUCGACGAUCGUUGCAGUGGAGUGAAAAUUGCAAUGAUAAUGAGGACUUCCCCUUCGUUUGGCAUUCAGAUUGCACUUAUUUGGAACAACAACAAAAUUUGCAACACGCCAAUAACCGCUUGUGAUGCUUUUUGAGGAGAAUUUUGGGUACCUAAUUAAUAGGUGCGGCUGCUGUAUCUGACCAACAUAUUUAAUAACUUUUUAUUCCGCAACAAAAUGCCUAUUUAGCCGACAAAUGGAACAAAAAAAUUGUUCCCGAAACGCAACAGAUGCCCUAUUCAAGACAAGAACAAUUGAAUGCUUGGAUCCACUAUUAUUGAAGU